UUCACCACAACAGGGAGACGUGGAAGAACCAGGCAACCAAAGAAGGAGGAGAAGAUACCGAUUUGAUACCGAGAGGUCGCCCGAGGCCGACGCUACAAAGCCCGUCACAGGCGGGAAAGGGGUUCGUUCGCCACUUUCUUCGUUCCAACUACGAGCGCCAUCAACGGCUCACAGGCCCCGAGAAGCUCUGCAAACUGGACUGCUGGGAAUGCCUGUUAUUUGCCAGUGAUGGAGUUGGUGUUUGGAGCCACACUGGCUUUGCUAACUUGAGUUGUCUAACCAAGGCAGCAACCAGACACCAAAGUACGGCUGGACACUUACAAGCAACGGUGCUUUUCAAAACCUUUAGGGACACCCGAGUGGAUGUACAGCUCAACGAACCAGCGCGCAGGGCAACGGAGCUGCACCAUGAAGAGGUGAAG